ACAGCUAAUUUUAAGGCGAAUAAAACAACUUACUUGCUGCAAUGAGUAACUCUUACUUAAAAUAUUCAUGUAGCCACAACAAAACCGGUGACAUUAAUACACCAGUGGGAGGCAGCAGUGCGCUAAUGUGUUGCUAAUGUGCAACAAAACAACAGAAGAAGAAGUACGGACGGUUUGAGAGCAUGCGCAACAAGCAACGGUUUUUUUUAAUUUGUGCGCCGAAUUUGCUGAGACUGCUUGCAUUUUUACCACUGGACAAAGACAGAUUACUUCUAUACAAUAAUAAUAAGGACAAGUGCUUGUGGCAGCUGUCUUCUCUGAACAGCAGUCUGGCGAACACCAUACUGUUUCGGCCUCAGUACACUGAAGAUCUAAGAAAACACUUCACACCCUACAACCCCUAAAAAUAACCCAGAUUUGACAGCAGUGCACACCCAUCUGAGGCCAACCUGUUUUACUUCAUGAUCACCCCAGAUACUUCUACAACUAA